rnacentral:rRNA from 1 species
GACGAACGCUGGCGGCGUGCUUAACACAUGCAAGUCGAACGAUGAAGCUGGAGCUUGCUCCGGUGGAUUAGUGGCGAACGGGUGAGUAACACGUGAGAAAUCUGCCCUUGACUCUGGGAUAACUGCGGGAAACUGUAGCUAAUACCGGAUAUUUUCCUUGGUGGGCAUCCACUGGGGAAGAAGGAAUUUCGGUCAAGGAUGAUCUCGCGGCCUAUCAGCUAGUUGGUGAGGUAAUGGCUCACCAAGGCGACGACGGGUAGCCGGCCUGAGAGGGUGACCCGCCACACUGGGACUGAGACACGGCCCAGACUCCUACGGGGGGCAGCAGUGGGGAAUAUUGCACAAUGGGCGCAAGCCUGAUGCAGCAACGCCGCGUGAGGGAUGAAGGCCUUCGGGUUGUAAACCUCUUUUAGCAGGGAAGAAGCGGAAGUGACGGUACCUGCAGAAAAAGCACCGGCUAACUACGUGCCAGCAGCCGCCGUAA